GCCGAGUUUGGAACCAUACCCUGUUGGCUGGGGUAGUUCUCGACGCUCAGGGCAACGUUGACGUGUCGAAAGGCAUAGGACGCUUCUGC
rnacentral:lncRNA from 1 species